GCUAGUAAUCGCAGAUCAGCAUGCUGCGGUGAAUACGUUCCCGGGCCUUGUACACACCGCCCGUCACACCAUGGGAGUCGGUAACACCCGAAGUCGGUAGCCUAACCGUAAGGAGGGCGCCGCCGAAGGUGGGAUUGAUGACUGGGUGAAGUCGUAACAAGGUAAC
rnacentral:rRNA from 1 species